rnacentral:rRNA from 1 species
ACGGGAGGCAGCAGUGAGGAAUAUUGGUCAAUGGGCGCAAGCCUGAACCAGCCAUGCCGCGUGCAGGAUGACGGUCCUAUGGAUUGUAAACUGCUUUUGUACAGGAAGAAACACUCCCUCGUGAGGGAACUUGACGGUACUGUAAGAAUAAGGAUCGGCUAACUCCGUGCCAGCAGCCGCGGUAAUACGGAGGAUCCAAGCGUUAUCCGGAAUCAUUGGGUUUAAAGGGUCCGUAGGCGGUUUUAUAAGUCAGUGGUGAAAUCUGGUCGCUCAACGAUCAAACGGCCAUUGAUACUGUAGAACUUGAAUUACUUGGAAGUAACUAGAAUAUGUAGUGUAGCGGUGAAAUGCUUAGAGAUUACAUGGAAUACCAAUUGCGAAGGCAGGUUACUACGAGUAUAUUGACGCUGAUGGACGAAAGCGUGGGGAGCGAACAGGAUUAGAUACCCUGGUA